GAAGAUACAGAUUGGAAUGACUGGAGAUGGCAUUGUGCUAAGCACUGGGGAUAUAAAAAAUGGCAAAAAUAUUACCCUUGCACUUAAGAAGCUCACGUUCUAACAGGAGAGAGAACAGUGACUUAGUCUAUUAAAUGUCAGUGCUUGCUGUGAGAGUGCAUACAUGACCUUUUGUUGCAGGUAGAUAAGCAGAAGACAGUGUUGGUGAUAAGAAGGUCAAGAGAUGUGCAAGUCUUUAGUAUCCCUUCCUCACACCAGAAGGCAAGCAGUGCAGUCCUUUUUAAAAGCUGCUCAGAUGUCCAUGGGGCUUCCAAAUCCCACUGCUGCUUCAUCCUAGUGAGAAGAUGACCCAAUACCCUGGGCUGCCUGUGUGCAGGGUUGUAGCUACAGGCCACAGUGGAUCUACAUUAGCUGCUUAUUCAUUUGCUCAUCCUCACAGGACUUCAAGAGUCAUUGAAGUCCAGUGCCAAGACAAAAGUCAAGAUAACUGGCAGUGCCUGGGAUGCAGUCAAAGACCUUGGAAUCUUUGAUGUCUGACCAAGCUCUAUGUGCUACACAGUAGCUGCUUCAGCUGUCUUCAUGACUGUUGGAAAAGAUUAUUUUCGUCUUCCAAUUACACCAGAGGAAUGCUUGGGGAAGACAUUCCUUUAUCUCACUGACAAGUUUGAGGUUCAUCAGUUACUUCCAACCUAGUUAGACUGUCUGCAGAGAUGGAUUUAUCUCGGUGUGGCCACUGAACAUACUAUAGCUUCUUGGAGCCACAGGAGAGAGUUAAGUGACAGGUGGAUGCCAAAAUUGGAAGAUAUUCCUGAAAAGGGCUCAACAAGCCCUCAUACCAAAGAUGCUUGUCUUCUCCAAACACCCUUGUACAUACCAGUAACAAAGGAGAGGAGGUAGUUAGAAUUAGAACUUGGACAAAUUUAGUCAGUUAGCUAAUAAUAAGUUUCUGUGGGGGAAGAAAAUCUCAUUAUUGCCCCUUACUUGAAUGAGAAUGUUUGGAAUUGGCUAUGUAAAAGGGUGAUCUCUAACCAGUGAGAAGUGGAAUAAAAUUAAUAUUUGUAGACAUUGAGAAUGGCUAAGUAAAACACAUUCCGGUUUCAGGAUAGGGAACUCUAAAUCCAUUUCAUCAUCUUAUCAGGUAUGUCUCCAUAUUAAGUUAAGACCAUUAACUAAGGGAAAUUUUUCUUAAUUAUCAUAAAGCAAAAACAAUAAAAACAUUAGCCUAAUUUGACUUUGUGCUUUUUGUUUUAUUUUCACAAUGAU